rnacentral:rRNA from 1 species
UGGGGAAUUUUGGACAAUGGGCGAAAGCCUGAUCCAGCAAUGCCGCGUGUGUGAAGAAGGCCUCGGGUUGUAAAGCACUUUUGUCCGGAAAGAAAUCCUUGGCUCUAAUACAGUCGGGGGAUGACGGUACCGGAAGAAUAAGCACCGGCUAACUACGUGCCAGCAGCCGCGGUAAUACGUAGGGUGCAAGCGUUAAUCGGAAUUACUGGGCGUAAAGCGUGCGCAGGCGGUUUGCUAAGACCGAUGUGAAAUCCCCGGGCUCAACCUGGGAACUGCAUUGGUGACUGGCAGGCUAGAGUAUGGCAGAGGGGGGUAGAAUUCCACGUGUAGCAGUGAAAUGCGUAGAGAUGUGGAGGAAUACCGAUGGCGAAGGCAGCCCCCUGGGCCAAUACUGACGCUCAUGCACGAAAGCGUGGGGAGCAAACAGGAUUAGAUACCCUGGUAGUCCACGCCCUAAACGAUGUCAACUAGUUGUUGGGGAUUCAUUUCCUUAGUAACGUAGCUAACGCGUGAAGUUGACCGCCUGGGGAGUACGGUCGCAAGAUUAAAACUCAAGGAAUUGACGGGGUCAUAGCUGUUUCCU